AUUUUGAUGCGUAUCACAACUUGAGAGGGUAUGCAUACACAUAUCUUUUUAGUGAUUUUGUUCGCGCA
ensembl:ncRNA R07A4.5 ncRNA